rfam:Canis lupus familiaris chromosome 19, whole genome shotgun sequence.
ACCUGACUGGCUCAGUUGAUGAAGCAUGCGACUCUUGAUCUCAGAAUUGUAGGUUCAAGUCCCACGUUGGGUA